UGGGGAAUAUUGCGCAAUGGGCGAAAGCCUGACGCAGCAACACCGCGUGAGGGAUGACGGCCUUCGGGUUGUAAACCUCUUUCAGCUCCGACGAAGCGAAAGUGACGGUAGGAGCAGAAGAAGCACCGGCUAACUACGUGCCAGCAGCCGCGGUAAUACGUAGGGUGCAAGCGUUGUCCGGAAUUAUUGGGCGUAAAGAGCUCGUAGGCGGUCCGUUGCGUCUGCCGUGAAAACCCGGAGCUCAACUCCGGGCCUGCGGUGGAUACGGGCGGACUAGAGUCCGGUAGGGGAGACUGGAAUUCCUGGUGUAGCGGUGGAAUGCGCAGAUAUCAGGAGGAACACCGGUGGCGAAGGCGGGUCUCUGGGCCGGAACUGACGCUGAGGAGCGAAAGCGUGGGGAGCGAACAGGAUUAGAUACCCCUGGUAGUCCACGCCGUAAACGGUGGGCGCUAGGUGUGGGAUCGUUUCCACGAUCUCCGUGCCGUAGCUAACGCAUUAAGCGCCCCGCCUGGGGAGUACGGUCGCAAGAC
rnacentral:rRNA from 1 species